ensembl:lncRNA
CCAACUUAAAAUAGAAAAGCAGGUGUCCUACGGCAAAAAGUGCGCAAGGUGAAUCUCCAGGAACAGAAUUGAGCACCCCUGCUGUUUUUACAGGAACAGCUACCACAAAAUAACCUGAAGAUGAGUGUUUUGAUCAGUGAUGUAUCAUGGAUGAUAUUUAGGCAAUUAACCACUUUUAAGCUUACUAGCUUAAAUUACUGACCUUUUAAGCUUACUGGCUUACUAGCGCAUGCCAUUCUUUAUACAUUGUGUGUGUGUGUGUGUGUGUGUGUGUGUGUGUGUGUGUGUGUGUGUGUGUGUGUGUGUUUGUUUAUGCCACUUAACCCUGCCUUAGAUGGUGGAGAAAAACAAUGCACCAUUUCAGGCCUCUUCUCUUCCUCUCUCUUAUGGGCCAGGCACCACUAAAUGCUGACAUUUCAAAAAGAGGAAGCCCAUACAGUGAAAGCUUACAUGAUAUCGGGAAAGUGAAAUUUGAAAGUUUCGGUUGCGCAGAAAGAAGAAGUUUACCAGCCUCUUACUGGAAAAGACCCCCCCGACUCCACCCCGACUUUAGUUCCACAUAUUUGGCCAAAAAAAAAAAAAAGAAAUUAAAAAUUGGCUGUAUUUACACCACCGGACGGGAAAUAAGAGAUCCUGCAAAAAUAUCUUCUUUCAACAAAGAACAUAAUGGCACAUGCAUUUGGAAGAACGAGAGGACUUGUGGCAUAGACUGGAUUUUGUCGCUUGUGUGGAAACAGCAAAAAUACUUAUGA